UUUCAAUGCUGUUAGUGGAGACCUUGAAGAAUGGCAUUCAGACAGAUUUAACUCUCUGUGUUGUCAGUGAGGAUGUACUCACAAGAAACUCCCUGUGAGGUUUUCGGUGCAUGACAGGCAAGGGCUAAAGCAAGUGGGAAAUCUCUAAGUAAGCUGGGAGAUGCACAGUUAAAGAAGCUGAUGGCACCGGGGAGUGUCCUGUUGAUGGGCCACCAGCCGCAGGGGGACUGGAGAGAUGACUCAGCAGUUAAGAGCAUUUGUUGCUGUUGCAGAGGAUGACGGUCUGUAAUUGCAGUUCCAGAGGAUCGGCAACGCACACCCACCUUGUGAUGGAAGGUCCCUUCUAGUCCUCUGCUUUCUGUGCUCUGUUUACAAUCCACACCACCUAUGCUGGGGACCAGAGCAUCCUCAUCUUCGUGCUUCAUCCUGAUGUCUGUUCUACACUACAACCAAAAGCAGGAAGGUCUACAAACCAGUUUUAGCAUAUUUUUAUUCUAUGUCGAUGAGUGUCCUGUGUGUAUGUGUGUUUGCCGUAUGUGCACCUGGUGCCCAGGAAGGCCAAAGAGGGUACUGGUUUCCCCCAGAACUGAAGAUAGAGAUCUUUGUGGUCACAUGAGGCUGCUGGGUCCUCUGGAAGGGCAGCCUCUGAUUUUAACUGCCUAUCCAUACCUCAAGACCCUACAAAACUAGUUUUGCAAGAUUUAAAAACAAGAACAACAAGUAUACUUUAGUUUUUUGUUCUGCCUAUAAAUGUGUGCACGUGGAUGUACUAUGUGGUCUUUGUGAAGGAGAGGGAUGUGCUGAUUAGGUCCAGCCAACAUCGGAUAGAUGCUCUUCUGUCUUAGCCACGUGGAAAAGGGGACAGAGCAAAGAACCAGACAAUGAAAUUCAGUGACUCCCCUGCCUCUUGUGGCUUGAAUAGAAACAGAAGGACUUAUUGGAAACAGCAUUCCCAAGGCCUGGCCUCAGCUACACAUGGUUACACAACUCCUCAAACUGUUACAAAACAUAGCAAAGAACAAACUGUGUUCAGAAAACUCCCAGAAAUUUUCUUGCAAAGUUACAUGGUGCAGAGCUAUAACUUUUUAAUGAUUUUUCGGUUUUCUUUUCUAUCAAUUUAAUUUGUUCUUUGAGAAUUUUAUACAGGCGUACAUUGCAUUUUGUUUGCUUUUGGCUCUUUCCUCUCAAUCAUCUCUCCAUCCCCUCCUCCCACAAGUCCCUCUCUUCCUCCCACAAGGACAUUUCCACCACUCUUGCGUUUUUUGUUGUUUUUGGGAGCUGCUGAUUUUAUCCAGGACCAGCAGUGUGGCUAUGGGUUUGGGAUUGUCCAUUGGAACCUAGGGUGCUCACUGCUAUGGGCUUCAUAUACAACUGAAGAGAAAUAUUGUCCCUCCUCGGAAUCCAUCUGUUGUGAGUCCCUUCCCUAAGACUGCUGUCAGGCCCAGUUUUGUGCCGGCCCAGUGCAGGCAACUGCAGCUGCCGUGAGAUCAUGUUUCAAAUGCAGUUUUUAAAUGAAAUCUAUUUCUAGAUAACCAGGAAGAAUUUCUAAAAAGAAAGAUGUGAUACCAUGUUUUAAGUAUCUGUAUUUUUAAAUGUGGGAUUCAAAGUUUAAUACUUUUUUUUCUUUAAAAUAGAAUGUUUAUUAAAACAUUUAUCAUGUGUUUCUUGCUUAA